rnacentral:rRNA from 1 species
ANGGCGANCCUGAUGCAGCANCGCCGCGUGCGGGAUGACGGCCUUCGGGUUGUAAACCGCUUUCAGCUCCGACGAAGCGCAAGUGACGGUAGGAGCAGAAGAAGGACCGGCCAACUACGUGCCAGCAGCCGCGGUGAUACGUAGGGUCCGAGCGUUGUCCGGAAUUAUUGGGCGUAAAGGGCUUGUAGGCGGUUUGUCACGUCGGAAGUGAAAACUCAGGGCUUAACCCUGAGCCUGCUUCCGAUACGGGCAAACUAGAGGAAUGCAGGGGAGAAUGGAAUUCCUGGUGGAGCGGUGGAAUGCGCAGAUAUCAGGAGGAACACCAGUGGCGAAGGCGGUUCUCUGGGCAUUUCCUGACGCUGAGAAGCGAAAGCGUGGGGAGCAAACAGGCUUAGAUACCCUGGUAGUCCACGCCGUAAACGGUGGGCACUAGGUGUGGGACUCAUUCCACGAGUUCCGUGCCGUAGCUAACGCAUUAAGUGCCCCGCCUGGGGAGUACGGCCGCAAGGCUAAAACUCAAAGGAAUUGACGGGGGCCCGCACAAGCGGCGGAGCAUGCGGAUUAAUUCGAUGCAACGCGAAGAACCUUACCUGGGUUUGACAUAUGCCGGAAAGCUGCAGAGAUGUAGCCCCCGCAAGGUCGGUAUACAGGUGGUGCAUGGCUGUCGUCAGCUCGUGUCGUGAGAUGUUGGGUUAAGUCCCGCAACGAGCGCAACCCUCGUCCUAUGUUGCCAGCGGAUAAUGCCGGGGACUCAUAGGAGACUGCCGGGGUCAACUCGGAGGAAGGUGGGGAUGACGUCAAGUCAUCAUGCCCCUUAAGUCCAGGGCUUCACGCAUGCUACAAUGGCUGGUACAAAGGGCUGCAAUACCGCAAGGUUGAGCGAAUCC